rnacentral:rRNA from 1 species
CAACUUUUGAGCGGUGG